AACGUAGGUUCCGAGCGUUAUCCGGAUUUACUGGGCGUAAAGCGCGUUCAGGCGGUUUGGCAAGUCGGGCAUGAAAUCUCUCGGCUCAACCGGGAGAGGUUGUCCGAUACUGCUGGACUUGAGGGCAGUAGAGGGUGGUGGAAUUCCGGGUGUAGUGGUGAAAUGCGUAGAUAUCCGGAGGAACACCAGUGGCGAAGGCGACUACCUGGCCUGUUCUUGACGCUGAGGCGCGAAAGCUAGGGGAGCAAACGGG
rnacentral:rRNA from 1 species